UACGUAGGGUGCAGGCGUUAAUCGGAAUUACUGGGCGUAAAGCGUGCGCAGGCGGUCUUUUAAGUCAGAUGUGAAAUCCCCGGGCUUAACCUGGGAACUGCGUUUGAAACUGGAAGGCUAGAGUGUGGCAGAGGGGGGUGGAAUUCCACGUGUAGCAGUGAAAUGCGUAGAGAUGUGGAGGAAUACCGGUGGCGAAGGCGGCAUCCUGGACCAUUACUGACGCUGAGGCGCGAAAGCUAGGGGAGCAAACGGG
rnacentral:rRNA from 1 species